rnacentral:rRNA from 1 species
GACGAACGCUGGCGGCGUGCCUAAUACAUGCAAGUAGAACGCUGAAGGAGGAGCUUGCUCUUCUGGAUGAGUUGCGAACGGGUGAGUAACGCGUAGGUAACCUGCCUGGUAGCGGGGGAUAACUAUUGGAAACGAUAGCUAAUACCGCAUAAAAUUGAUUAUUGCAUGAUAGUCAAUUAAAAGGUGCAAUUGCAUCACUACCAGAUGGACCUGCGUUGUAUUAGCUAGUUGGUGAGGUAACGGCUCACCAAGGCAACCAUACAUAGCCGACCUGAGAGGAUGAUCAGCUGGACUGGGACUGCAACACGGCGCAGACGUCUCCGGGAGGCAGCAGUAGGGGAGUUUCGGCAAUUGACGGAAGUCUGAACGAGCAACGCCGCGUGAGUGAAGAAGGUUUUCGGGAUGAAAAUCUCUGUUUUACUGGAAGAACGAUGGUGGGAGUGGAAAGUUCACACUGUGACGGUAUCUUACCAGAAAGGAACGGCUAACUACGUG